AAAGUCGUAACAAGGUUUCCGUAGGUGAACCUGCGGAAGGAUCAUUAUCACAUGAAUCCAUGUAAAAACCAUUUCGUGAAACUGUCGAUCUUCUCUUUUGUUCUUUUUGUUUCGAUCUUCAACACUGGCUUAUGGAUCUGUUUGGCCGAGCUCUGUAAAUUCAAACACAACUAACGGCAAACAGGGAUAGAAGGCGAAGAUGAAAGGAGAAACAUCGAGAGCAAGGGAUUGGAUUAAUUUAACUAUUAAACCCUUUUGAUAAAUUGAACUAACGACUUCCUACUCCAAUAAAACGGAGAUGAAGUAAAUACGAAACAAAGAACAACUCUUAGCAACGGAUAUCUUGGUUCUC
rnacentral:misc_RNA from 1 species